rnacentral:rRNA from 1 species
AGCGAACGCUGGCGGCAGGCCUAACACAUGCAAGUCGAACGAAGCCCUCGGGCUUAGUGGCGGACGGGUGAGUAACACGUGGGAACGUACCUUUUGGUUCGGAAUAACGCAGAGAAAUUUGCGCUAAUACCGGAUGAGCCCUUCGGGGGAAAGAUUUAUCGCCGAAAGAUCGGCCCGCGUUGGAUUAGGUAGUUGGUGUGGUAGAGGCGCACCAAGCCUACGAUCCAUAGCUGGUCUGAGAGGAUGAUCAGCCACACUGGGACUGAGACACGGCCCAGACUCCUACGGGAGGCAGCAGUGGGGAAUCUUGCGCAAUGGGCGAAAGCCUGACGCAGCCAUGCCGCGUGAAUGAUGAAGGUCUUAGGAUUGUAAAAUUCUUUUACCAGGGACGAUAAUGACGGUACCUGGAGAAAAAGCCCCGGCUAACUUCGUGCCAGCAGCCGCCGUAACAC